CAUAUACUCCCUCCGUCCCAAAAUUCUUGUCUUAGAUUUGUCUAAAUAUGGAUGUAUCUAGUUACAUUUUAGUGUUAGAUACAUCCGUAUCUAGACAAAUUUAAAACAAGAAUUUUGGGACGGAGGGAGUAUGAA
rnacentral:pre_miRNA from 1 species